rnacentral:tRNA from 1 species
GGAUUGUGGCUCAGCGGUAGAGCACUUGCCUAGCAUGUGUGAGGCCCUGGGUUCAAUCCUCAGCACCA